CAAAUCAAAGCUUUUAGGAGAAGCAUUUUAUUUACAUUAAAAGGAUUAUUAAUUUUAAUAUGAUUUGA
rnacentral:tRNA from 1 species